ensembl:lncRNA GCLC-AS1 GCLC antisense RNA 1
AGGGCCUUUGGGAGGCAAUUGGGAGGACCUCCUUUGGGAGGUCAUGAAGGCCCUACCCUCAUAACUGGUAUUACGAAGAGACAUCUGAAGAGCUAGUUAGCUCCUUCCACCAUGUAAGAACACAGCAAGAAGGCACCAUGUAUGAACCAGAGAGCAAAAGCUCUCACCACACACCGAAACUGCCGGUGACUUGAUCGUGAACUUCCCAGCCUCCAGAACUAGCAGCAUCUGAAGAGCCACGGGGCCCCCACCUUCAUCCCUGAGAAUUUUAGGAGCCAGCCUGCCUUUCCAGGUGACACUGGACACUUUCAUCUGAGAACCCUGUCACAUGACAGUUGUUUCCUUUCUUCCUCCUCUCCUGGGAAUGCUGCUGCUUCGAUGACCCAAGAGCCUAAGAAGGGUAGCUGUUUCUCAAUACACUGAGAGAGAGUUCUUUCUCCGUCCUGACCAUCUUGGGACCCGAUGGCAAGACUGGAAGGAUUUAUAUCUCCUUUUGUACAGAAAACUGCCUCCCCAUGUUGGUUUGUGAAGUGAAAUGCAUAUAAAACAGAGGAUUCCAGACUCUCAGAAGUCAAUACAUAAAUAAAUAAAAAUAAAACUGAGAAGAUACCUCAAAAUGGUCAGAC